rnacentral:pre_miRNA from 1 species
AGCUUUCUGUAUCCGUGGUGAGAUUUCGUCGGCGAUCAAUCCAUUGGGGCUGAUGCAGCUUCCCAAAUAAAUUAAGUG